CUUUCGUACGCCGGUGCGAGAUCGAUUCGUUCUUUCCCAAAAUGGCCUUUUUUAAAAAGAUAUUCGAAUUUUUCCCCAGGGGGGGGAAAGGUUGGGGGGCGGGAUUCCCUUAGGGGGGGGGAAACGUUCACCCGCCCCCCAAUUAUGAUUUUAAGUUGGAAACUUGCUGGAUGGUCCACCCUACAUAUUUUAACGUGUACAGUCCUUCAACGUGGGAGAUUUUGUUCUGAACUAUUGUUUGACUAGUAUCCGUCUGGUCUGCACUUAAUAAUGUGGGUAAGAUUCAUACUGGCUAGUGAAGAUGGGCUGCGCCAGACACCGGAGCAGGGUUAAAGGGCAACUGACCCUGCUUGAAUUAAUUUCGGGAGGGAUGGAAGACGUAUCCGUAGUCACAAUUAAAACCCGAGGACUGCCACUAGAGGUUUUUGGUAUAGGAACCAAAGGGUUGCAAGCCGUGAUUUGGACUCAACGCGGUGAACCUCACCAGGUCUAGGACAUAAGUAUGAUGGACAGGUUAACACCCUUUCUUUAUUUUGUGGUGGCUAGCGCAUGGCCGUCUCCAGUUCGUGGAGUGAUCUGUCUAUUAAUUCAGAUAACGAACGAGACGUAAGCCUUUAACUAGCCGCAGGCCUUUUCAUUCGGGGAAGGGUUACUUCGUCGGAACAGACUUCGGUUCUUCCAAAACCUACGAGACUUUUGUCAGUUUUUUAAAGGGAUCUCAUUCGUAAACUAGGAUGAGGAAGAUUUAGCCCAUAACAGGUCUGUGUAUGCUAUUAGAUGUCCUGGCAUGCACGCGUCAUACACUAACGGUACCAGCGAGCGCUAUCGUUUUAUAACCCCUUAUCCUAAUAGGAUUGGGAACACUUUUCUAACACCGUUAUGACAGGGAUCGAGGAUUGCAACAUCCUCUUGAACGAGGAAUUCCUAGUAAGCGUGGUUCAUCAUACCACAUUGAUUACGUCCUUGCCUUUCAUACACACCGCCCGUCGCUCCUACCGAUGGGACGAAGAGAUGAACCUGGCGGACCGAACCGCAAGGUAAGGGAAACCAGUUAAAUCUCUUCGUCGUAAUGCACUCCCCUCUCCCCAUAA
rnacentral:rRNA from 1 species